rnacentral:rRNA from 1 species
AGCGAACGCUGGCGGUAUGCUUAACACAUGCAAGUCGAGCGCGAAAGUGACUUCGGUCAUGAGUAGAGCGGCGGACGGGUGAGUAACACGUGGAUAAUCUGCCUUUAGGACUGGGAUAACCCUGGGAAACUAGGGCUAAUACCGGAUAAGACCACAGGUUCCAUGGAACCAGGGGUAAAAGGCGGCCUUCGGGCUGUCGCCGAAAGAUGAGUCCGCGUCCCAUCAGGUAGUUGGUGAGGAACGGCUCACCAAGCCGAAGACGGGUAGCCGACCUUAGCGGGUGAUCGGCCACACGGGGACUGAGAC